rnacentral:rRNA from 1 species
AAGCGUGGUGAGCAAACAGGAUUAGAUACCCUGGUAGUCCACGCCCUAAACGAUGCGAACUGGAUGUUGGUCUCAACUCGGAGAUCAGUGUCGAAGCUAACGCGUUAAGUUCGCCGCCUGGGGAGUACGGUCGCAAGACUGAACUCAAAGGAAUGACGGGGGCCCGCACAAGCGGUGGAGUAUGUGGUUUAAUUCGAUGCAACGCGAAGAACCUUACCUGGCCUUGACAUGUCUGGAAUCCUGCAGAGAUGCGGGAGUGCCUUCGGGAAUCAGAACACAGGUGCUGCAUGGCUGUCGUCAGCUCGUGUCGUGAGAUGUUGGGUUAAGUCCCGCAACGAGCGCAACCCUUGUCCUUAGUUGCCAGCACGUAAUGGUGGGAACUCUAAGGAGACUGCCGGUGACAAACCGGAGGAAGGUGGGGAUGACGUCAAGUCCUCAUGGCCCUUACGGCCAGGGCUACACACGUACUACAAUGGUCGGUACAGAGGGUUGCAAUACCGCGAGGUGGAGCCAAUCCCAGAAAGCCGAUCCCAGUCCGGAUCGGAGUCUGCAACUCGACUCCGUGAAGUCGGAAUCGCUAGUAAUCGCGGAUCAGCUAUGCCGCGGUGAAUACGUUCCCGGGCCUUGUACACACCGCCCGUCACACCAUGGGAGUGAGUUGCUCC